ensembl:lncRNA
CCAUACAUACUCCCAGACCCAAGGGAGGGGUCCUUCUCUGGUUCGGACUCUUCCACAGAGCGGGGAGCAUGCUAGACACCCCAGCUCACCCCCCAAAAGGGAUAUUCUAUUUCAGGACACUGGGAAACUUCCCUUUGGCUUUCACAACUCCUGUCAGGUGCAGAGCACUGGCCGCAUUUUACAGACAGGUAAACUGAGUCUGUGACCCUACAGCUGUGGAUGGUGGAAGUGGGACUUGAAGCCAAGCCUUCUCAUUCCAACAGCUUUCUUUCCUCUCCGCCAUGCUGCCUGUCAAGGAGAUUCCUCCCCGCUCCUGGCGCCUGCCCACCCAGGUCUGACAAUUUCCUUUUAGUUGUAUGUUCUCACAGUUCCCACUCUUUGCCAUGAGGAAGGAAGUCCUGCGUGGAAUCAAAACCUCUAGCUCCCAGCUUUUUCUGCCUCCUUCACAUGCUUGCCCAGAAUUUGCUGGAAACCCGUGGUACCAAAGCCUUUCCUUCAUUCUCAGAAGCUUCUCCCAGGGCAAACUAAGUCAAACCUUAGCUGCAGCCCCACCUCCCUCCCCCACGCACACCUGGGGGAGUCUGGGGUGAGGAGGCCAGCUGCGGGCUUCCGUGGGAUGGUUGCCUGCCUGUUGUCCCGUUCCUUGGCACAGGAGUGCCCGUAACCAUGCUGGCUGGCUCUGCCUGCUUCUGUGAGUGCCCUCACGUCCCAUGAGGCUGAGCUGGGCCAUGGCCGUAGGGCAUGGCAGCCUUCUGAAGACCAGGUGGGCACCAUCGGGGGCAGCAUACGGACCCAUGUGAUCCAGCAACCCAGGCUCUGCUCUGAUUAGAAAUGGCAUGGUGGCUGCUGUGCCACCCAAGGAAGAGGGGCAGCUGGGAUCUGGCAGAAAAAACCUGGGGUUCAGAGUCGAGGACCUGGGUCUGAGGCCAGCUCUGCCAUUUACUGGUUGACCUUGACUGCAACUCAGAACCACUCUGAGGUUCCAUUUCCUCAACUGUAAAAGGAGGUACAGUAAUGCCUGCCCCUUCUACCCUCAGGACAAUCGUCAACUCGAGCAAGGCAGGUGAAUCAGCCUUCUAAACACCACAGUGCCAUAAAAAUGAAAAUUAUAAAUGAUUAGCGGGCUCAGGGCUGGCCUGGGAGGGGACCUGAUGGCCUAGACAGUAAUUUCCAGGGUAGAAGCCCUCAUAGCCAGGACCCCGGAGCCUGGGGUCUAGAGCGGACCGGUCCUCUGCUGGCAUCACCGGGACUCUGUUGCCACCUAGAGGGCACUGGCUGCAGGUGCUUCUGCUGCUCAUGUGGGUCUGGAAAAUGACUGGGAAGGCCUGUUUCCUUGUAAGUGGCUUUGGAUCCCUUGGGUCGCCUGCUGUACCAGGUCGGGCUGCUUAAGGAGAGAAUGUGGUCCAGAUUUAAUCCAGAGAAGAAACACCUGAAACUACUUGGGAGACAGUUCGGUUGGCCUUCCAGAAGUUCUUCUGAGCCACUAUUUCUAUACUGACCCUUUUUCUCCCACCUUUUCCCCCACUGACCAACUGGCCAUGUCAAAUCCAACUCCUCACAUGCCCCAAAGGCUGGUGUGGCAGCUGCUGCCAGCCAGCCAAACCCCAGGGAUCCACGGGGCCUCGUCUUACACUGAGGGAGGAUCACGCACACAUCACAAUCCAGCUCCCCACAAGCUUUGUUGCUGGGAGAGACGCAGGCAGGCCCAGCAAGGGUUGCACAAGGAGCUCAGAGUGCCCCAGGCCUGGCUCACUGAGGGCCUGAGAGGUGACAGCAGAAGGCUGGGGACAGUGGGACAAACUCACUUCCUGAGAACCUUCAGAGAGCCUAAAAAAGCCAUCGCGGAAAGCCGCUGAAGUCAGCUCCUGCCUCGAAAGAGAACUGUCCUUCUAAUACAGCGAGCAAGCCUGUGCCGUCCCCACAACCUGCCACAGCCCCGCUCCAGCUGGUUAGCAUCUGAAUUCUCAAGUUCACACCUGUGCCCCCUGGGAGACAGUGUACAAUCCGAUUCCCUCGGACAUUUGGGUCUACAGAUAAUUUGAUUGGAAGUGAUCUUAGGCUGGAUCAUCUUGUCUCUCCUUGCCUCUUGGCCCCUCCAGCCAUCUCAAAUGAAUGCAACUAAAGGGUUUAGAAGACCUCUCCCAACACUAAACUUCUAAGAUUCUACGACUCUUGCCAACUGUAAAGAUCCUCAGAGCAAAGGCUACCUCCCCCUCUGUAUCAUCUGUUAGCACUUGUUUAAAAAGCAGCAUUUCACUUUUUCUCCCUCCCCUAGAUCAGCGGUGUCUUCAGCUUAGAGUGAGCUUCUAGUGACACCAGGUGGGGAGAAGGCAAAAGCGCAUGCAUGAGGGUGGGUUUUGAUGGGCAGAGGAAGGAAAGGCUUUCCCUAAGAAGUCCCCAUUUGGGAAGGGAGGGAGUCACAAAAUGGCAGGAGUAAGGGGGUGGGGGCUGGACAAGUUUGACUUGACUGAUUUUCACCUUAUUCUCAGAAAUCUCUUGGCAAUUAGCAUUCCUCCUUAACGCCCUAUCCCAGGCACAGGACCUUGACCUUUCCCUCAGUUCCCAGAGCACAGCUGAGACCGGGCUGCAACAUUUAAAUUAGAUUCUCUGAAGUCUCAAGGACAAAACAAAAGAAAAUAAGCACCAAGAACGACCUUACAUUAGCCCAGCUCUCUGCCUGCCUGCUCUCAGGAGAGAGGGGCCAUCUUUAAUCCCUACCACCCAGAAGUCCCAUAAAGUGGGUCCCUAGUAACGUAUCUAAGGGAUCACGUGCUGUCCUCGUAUCAAAGGUCACUCCCUUUCUUGCCCUCCGGGUCUCAUCCUCUGUCUUUCCAAGUUCUUUGCUGUGCACUUUUCUCUUCUCUCUGCUGCAUUCACUUCUCCCUCCCAACCAGAUUAUUCCCAUCGGCAUGCCAACGGCUCCCAUUCGAAUAAACUUUUCCCUAACCCCACAGCCCCCUUCGGUUACCAUCCAAAUCCUCUUCCUCUGAACAGCAAAAUUCUCGAGAUAGUUGUGUAUAGACACUGUCGUCUUCAUUUUUGGUAAAGCUUCUCAUCUGAGUUUUAUCUCUUUCACUUCCUUGAAACGGUCUCGCCAAGCUCAUCAGGGGCUCUAUUUUCCAAAACACAUGGCUACUUUGCUGUCUUCAUCUUACUUAUCUUUCAGCAGCUUUAGACGUAACUGGCUCCUUCCAGAAACGCUCUCCUGGUUUUUCCCUCCCCCACAUGCUGCUGCCUCUCAGGCUCCUUGGCCGCUUCCUCUUGCUCUGCUGGAAUUUGCAUAUUAUAUUAGACCAGCUCUGAAUGCUUCCUUGACCCUCUUACCUUGUCUAUCUCCUCCCCUCACUGGUGUCUCAUCCACUUCUGUGGCUUUUAGUAUGUGCUCAUGACCUCAAAUUUUAGUUUGGGAGUCUAGAGUUUUCCACUGAGUUCCAGACUCAGAUGCUUAACUGACACAUACAUUUGAAUACCUAAUAGGCAUCUCACACUUAACAUGCUCUUACCAGAAGCCUUGUCCACACAUCUCUGUGCCUGUCUCUUCCACUGGGUGCAGGAUUAUUAACCUUUUUCUUCCUCAAAUCCAAGCCUCCUUGUCAACUUCAUGUUGGCUAUCUUGGGGCCAUCUGAAAGAGUCAGCGUGGAUGGGAAAGGUAACACUCUUAAUCUGAUGUGUGCCACAGGACUGAAUCCCUUUGUAAGAGAAUUUUGAAUAAUGAGCCUUUAUUGCUGGAAGCCUUUUCCAGUCUUAUUUCCUAUAAUUUAGGGCAUAGAAGAAGUCAGCUUACCUAUAUCCAAGAAAAUACAAAUUACUGGAUUCCUCCAAUUUUCUUUCAUUUCUUCUUGGAAAUUUGUCUUUUUUUUUCCUGAAUUCAUCUCUUGAUAAUUAUAUCUUGCUACAAACACUGGAGAACAACCAACACACACUAACAUUCUGGUUCUUUCCCCACAGUUUCUCUUUGAGCUAUAGGCUUAGUAUAUACUUGAUCUGCCUUUCAAGUUGUUGCAGCCAAGACUUUUCCUAAAUGUGUAGUUCCUGCCUAUCAUGGGGCUCCAUUUUCCUAGCCAAGCUCUCCUUGCUGCCAGUGAAAUCAUCUGGCCACUGUCUGCUUCUCUGACCCACCUCCUUCCACUUUCCUCCUGCCACUGUUCUCAGCCUCACUGCCUUCCAUCUGCCCCCAGAGAGGACAGGUCUUUGCAUGUGCUGUUCCCUCUGCCAAGAGCCUCUGCCCCCUAAAUCUUUGCCUGGCUGCCUCUUUCACACAUAAUUCAGGUCUCAGCUCAAAUAUUGCCCCUUGGUGGGGUCUUGCCCGACCAUCCCAUCUCAAGUUUUUUUCCCCCAUAGCAUUUACCGCCAUCUGAUAUUUUCUUUAUUUGUUUUCUUGUCAUGGUCCAUGUCCCAUCCCCCUUGCCUGUAGCCUUUGCAAGAACCAGGAUCCAGUUGGCCUCAUUUGCCACUGUAUCCUUGGUGCUUAGAGUGGUACUUGCCCCACUGUUGGUAUGACAACAAAUGCCAAUGCUCAUACAAUACCGUGUGCCAGACACAGUUGUAGUUCUUUGUUGAACACUUUUUUUAGUGAAAAAUUUCAAAUAUACACAAAAGUAGAAUAAUAUGAUGAAUCCCUUACAAAACCCAUCCCUCAGAUUCAACAUUAUCAAGAUUUUGCCAUGCUUGCUUCCUCUAUCCUUUCUUUCCUUCCUUCUUUUUCUUUCAUUUUUCUUUCCUUUGUUUCUGUUGAAGUAUUUUAAAGAAAAUCCCAGGUAUCAUGUCACUUCCCCCCCACAUACUUCAAUGUAUGCAUUUUUUAAAAUGAAUUUUUCUUAUAUAACUUCAAUAGCAUUCAUACACUUUCGAAAAUUAGCAGUGAUUUCUUAGUAUCGUCCCUCAGUCCUUAUUCAGAUUUUCCUGAUUACCUCAAAGAUAACUUUCUAAAGUUGGUCUGUUUGAAUUAGGAGCCAAACUAGGUCCACUCACUGCCUGGGUUUGUAAUUUCUAUUAAAUAUCUCCUUCCUCCCAUGCUGUUGACUUGUGAAAGAAACAAGUGGUUAUUAUUAACUAUCCAGUUGGAAAUGAUGAGGGCCCAAAUGGGACUGGGUACAGGGGGCAAAAAGGAGGAAAUGGUCUGAAAAGAACUUGUGGAGUAGAGUCAUCUGGUCGACCCUGCUUUGGCUCAGUAGAGUGGUGACAUCACUGGCCUCUCUGAGGCAUCAGGAGCUAUGUAGGAGAGCAGCAGUGGCCUUUCUCCCUCUUACAGGAUCUCUGGUGUGACAGCUGAAAGGAACCCUCAGAUCAGCUAAUUAUAGCUCUUGUUUUAGUCCCUUGCCCAGCCUCCUCCAGCUGGGCAGAACAUCUGUACAAUCCUCCCACUUCACAAAAUUCCCUCUCUAUCUUGCUUCCUCUGAGGCUGUUGAGAGAGGGUCAAUCCCCAUACGCCAUACUUACCACGGUUCCCAGACCAGCUGUGCACCAAACCCAUGGAGUUUUGUUCUGCUCCUUGAACAUACACUCAAAUAUCUGGUUCCCUAUCCAGACCUUCUGAAUCAGAACCUGUGGGCAUGGUACGUGGGAGUCUGUAUUUUAAAUACAGAUGAUGUAGCCAAUUCACAGAUCCUCAUCAGAAACCUUGUAGAAUACACCAAUGGAGUCAGUCCUGAGAUAAAAUUUGUAAAGCAAUUUCUGCCCGCAGAUUACAAUUCCUUUGGGGUCAGUCAUAUUCCACCUUUAUAGCUUUUGCACAAUUUUCAUUAAAGUUUUGAAUAUGCAUCCCAAUAUUUGUGUGUUUAUUUAUGCAUUAUAUACAUGUACCACUGUACUACCAUAUUAAGUAUAAAAUACACUAAAAUAAAUUUUUUAAAAAAUUUAACAAGUAAAUAAAAAUAGAAGUUCUACUAUUUGCUUCUUGCAGCCCCGUGGUUUUUCUUGGACUCCCAUCUGUGGGUUCCUGCUCUGGGGUCUGUUCAGCCCGUCCUUUGCCCAAGGCUUCCCAAGGAGUUCCCUGUGCAGACCUUCCAGAUAUCGUGAAAAGCUCCCUUCUUCUAUAACAUUCUUUGUCAUGACCCCAAAGCCUUCUUGGAGAGAGGUUUGCCUGGUUCACCUGGGCUAAUUUUUUUUCUCUACAAUGUGACCAGUGGAACCCUCCCAAAUUAGUUGUGGAGCAAGCAAACAAGUUAUGUCAGCAGUCAAGUCUUCCAUUCUUCCUGUGGUCCUCUUGGAUCCCUGGGGGCUCAGGAAAAGAAAAUUUCCUAACAGAUGUAUUUAAGGCUGCAGGGGGAGAAAAGGUGAUUGAAGGCCUGGAGGAAGCCGGAGGCAAAUUGAGGUAGGGAAACCUAGAACUCACCAUUUCUAGGCUUCUUGAUUCCUUCCUGUAGAUCUGAGUUGCCACCAGGUAUCAUUUUCCUUUAGCCUGAACAGCUUCAAAGGAAGUAUUUCUUGCACUGCAGGGUUAUUGGUAACAAAUUCUCUCAGUUUUCACUUAUCUGAACAUGUCUUUAUUUCAUCCUCAUUUUUGCAGACUGUUUUUGCUGGAUAUGGAAUUCUGGGUUGACGGCUAUUUUGUUUGUUUAGAGCUUUAAGGAUGCUGUCCUUUAUCUCCUGGUUUCCACUAUUUCUGAUGAGAACUCAGCCAUGAGUUACAUCAUUGUUCUCCUGUAUGUAAUAUGUCAUUUUUCUCUGGAUGAUUGCACGAUUUUCAGAAGUUUAACUAUGGUGUGCCUAGGUGUGACUUUCUUUGCUUGGGGGUUUGCUGAGUUUCUUGAAGCUGUAAGUUGAUGUGUUUCACCACAUUUGGGAAAGUUUUGACCUUUUUUCUUCAUAUAUAUGUUUCUACCCCAUUCUCUCCUUCCUUUCCUUCAAGGAUUCUAAUUACAUAUAUGUUCAACAGCUUUAUUUUUUUCCACAGGUUACUGAGGCUCUGUUCAUUUUGUCUCAAUCUUUUUUCUCUCUCUUCUUCAGACUGAGUAAUUUUUACGGCUCUGUCUUCAAGUUCUUGGACUCUUACUUCUGCCAUCUCCAAUCUGCUGUUAAAACCACCCAGUGAAUUCUUCAUUUCAGACAUUGUAUUUUCAGUCUAGAAUUUCCUUAAAAAGAAGUUUCCACUUCUCUGUUGAGAUUCCCUGUUUCCUUCUUAAGACUAUAUUUUUCUUUAAUUCCUUGAACACGUUUAUUAUAACUGUUUUAAAGUUAUUUAAACAUCUAGAUCAUCUCAGGGCCUGUUUCCAUUGAUACCUUUUAUUUUCGUGGGUAACACUUUUCUGCUUCUUGGUGUAUCUAGUAAUUUUUUUAUUGUAGGCUAUAUUGUGAGUGAUCUGUCAGAAGGAGUCUGGAUUAUGGUGUUUUCCUUUAAAGAGUGUUGUGUUUUGUUGCGACAGGGAAUUAAUUUAUCAAAAGCUUUCCUUGCCCCUAUCAAGGCUUGGUUUUAGACUGUGUUAGGGUGACUUUAAAGUAGCCUUUAUUCUAGGGCAUGGUCCUUCUUCCCAAAGCAUGACUUUUCUGGUGUCUCAGCUGAAUGCUGAGAUAAUACGUGCUGCAACAAGAUCUUUCCACUCGGGCUGGAAUGAUGACUCCCAGCACCAUGUGACCUCUGGUAUUUCCAUUCUUCUCUCAACUCCAUAGCAGGCAGUCUCUUGCAAAGUCUCAACAUGUGCAUGUGCAGCCCAGUUCUUGACCAAAACCCAACAGAGAACUUGUUAUGGGUUAAAUUGUGUUCCCCCAAAAAGAUACAUUGAAGUCCUAACCCCCAAUACUUCAGAAUGUGACCUUCAUUUGGAAAAAGGGUCCUUAUAGAGAAAAUUAAGUUAAAAUGAGAUCAUUAGGGUGGGUCCUAAUCCAGAAUAACGGGUGUGCUUAUAAAAAGUUGAAAUUGCACACAGAGACAUAUACGCAGAGAGAAAGCCGUGUGAAGAAAAGGGAGAGACCAAGGUAUUGCAUCUACAAGCCAAGGAAUAUCAAAGAUUGACAGCAAAUCACCAGAUGCCAGGGAAGAGGCAUGGAACAGAUUCUCCCUCACAGCUCUCAGAAGAAACCAAUCCUGCUGACACCUUGAUUUCAGACUCCUGGCCUCCACAAUUGUGAGAGAAUAAAUUCCUGUUGUUUAAGCCCCCAGUUUGUGGUACUUUGCUGUGGCAGCUCCAGCAAAUGCAUACAUGCCCACAAAGACUUUUGGUGGCCCCUCUACAUGACUCCCUCCUUCCUGGCAGCCAACCCCAAGAGUUCCAUUCGCUUUAGCAGCUCCAAACUCUGAUCUUUGCUUCUGAGCUCAGCAUGACGCUAGACUCUUCUUGGGUUCCACCUUGCUGUGCUGUAGUCAGGAAGUUGUCCCCAGGCAGACAGCUGGUUCAUGCUGGGCUCCCUUUAUGGGUUUUCCUUCUCUCAGGAAUUGCAGCUGUGCACUGCCUGUUGUCCAACGCCUGCAAACAGUUGUGUCAUGCAUCUUGUCCAGUUUCGUAGUUGUUUAUGGUGAAAAGUAAUUCCAAUAUUUGUUACUCCAUCAUGGCCAGAAGUGAAGUUUCUGUUCUAAAUUCUUUAUUUGAAUUAACUCAUUUAAUCCUCUCAACAACUCCCUGAGGUAGGUUAUUAUCCUCAUGAGUUCCAGAAAAAAACUGAGGCAAAAAAAGAUUAAAUAACUUGUCCAAGGACAUAUGUUCUGAACAGAGGAGCUAGAUUUUGAAUCUAGGAAGGUUAGCUGCAGAGCCUAUGUUCUUAAACAUUAACCUGUUAUCUUACAUAAUAGGUGCUCAAUGAAUGCAUUUUGAAUAGAUGAAGAGACGGUGGUCUCUUCUACCUUUAUUGCCAUUUCCUUCUGUUCCACCUGCCCAGGAAAACCCCAACAUUACACCAAUCCAGUAUCUUCACUCUCCUGCACCCAGAUUUUUAGCAUGAUGGAGAAAAUCACACUUCUGGGCAGACUGAACUCCUACCAAGUUAUGUGGACCUUUGACAAUACCUAAUAAUCCUGUAUUUCCCUAGUGUUUGCCUUCCAUUUGCUGUUGGUUUUCUCCUCUAAUCUCAAACACUUGUACCUUCCUUCUUGUUAUUUUCAGGAAAAACACAAUUUCCAGCUGUGAACUCUCAGUUUCCUUCUCAUUCCUAUAAAUUUGACUUGUAUUGGCACCCACCCUUGCCUUUUCCUCUACUGUCAAAAUAUUUAGUGUUUUUCUCUUUCUAUCUAAGGAUCAUCCACUUUUAGCUGCCACCUGAUGUCUUUCCUCUCUUUCACAGCCAAGUUUGUGGAAGUGUCAGUCACAUUCUCCAUCUGCACUUGCUCAUCUCCGUAGGAUUGGAAGUCCUAGCCAGAGCAAUCAGGCAAGAAAAAGAAAUAAAAGGGAUCCACAUUGGAAAAGAAGAAGUGAAAUUGUCACUCUUUGCAGAUGACAUGAUUUUAUUUUUAUUAAUUUCAUCCUUAGGCUUUCUUUAAAUGAAACCACGUACAUAGGAAAUGUGUCCUUUCCUUGAAUAUGGGCUAGGAAUUGUCAAGACCCC